rnacentral:rRNA from 1 species
CCUACGUGUGGCAGCAGUGAGGAAUCUUGGUCAAUGGGCGUAAGCCUGAACCAGCCAAGUCGCGUGAGGGAUGAAGGUUCUAUGGAUCGUAAACCUCUUUUAUAAGGGAAUAAAGUGUGGGACGUGUCCUAUUUUGUAUGUACCUUAUGAAUAAGGAUCGGCUAACUCCGUGCCAGCAGCCGCGGUAAUACGGAGGAUCCGAGCGUUAUCCGGAUUUAUUGGGUUUAAAGGGUGCGUAGGCGGCCUUUUAAGUCAGCGGUGAAAGUCAGUGGAUCAACCAUAGAAUUGCCGUUGAAACUGGGGGGCUUGAGUAUGUUUGAGGCAGGCGGAAUGCGUGGUGGAGCGGUGAAAGGCUUAGAUAUCACGCAGAACCCGGAUUGCGAGGGCAGCCUGCCAAGACAUGACUGAAGCUGAUGCACGAAAGCGUGGGGAUCAAACAGGAUUAGAUACCCGAGUAGUC